rnacentral:lncRNA from 1 species
UCGUUUAGAAACCUUUUAUAGAUGAUUGUUGAUAUUAACACCGCUAGAUCCCACUUUUUUUCUUUUUUUCUUUUUUUCUUUUUUUCUUUUUUUUGAUAAUGAAUUUUUUCUUUGGAGAGUUUUGUAAUCUCUCUCUCACUGUCUGUCUCUCUCAAGUCCUAGACUUUCUCGUGCUCAGUGACUCAAUGUCUUGUGCAUUUCAUGGUUUGGUUAGUAGUAUUUUGGUAAGUGUUCGACAAAUCGAAUCGGACUCAGAAACUAACCAAAGGCCAGAUCUGAGUAACUGGUAAACCGUCCAGUUCACCCGUUCCAAUCGGGCAGGUCCCGACAGGUCCACA